CACGUAGGGCGCGAGCGUUGUCCGGAAUUAUUGGGCGUAAGAGCUCGUAGGCGCCUGUUGCGUCCGCUGUGAAAGCCCGGGGCUUAACCCCGGAACUGCAUUGGAUACUGCCUUGCUUGAGUACUGGAGAGGGAACUGGAAUUUACGGUGUAGCAGUGAAAUGCGUAGAGAUCGUAAGGAAGGCCAGUGGCGAAGGCGAGUUCCUGGACAGUGACUGACGCUGAGGCAGCGAAGGCCAGGGGAGCAAACGGG
rnacentral:rRNA from 1 species